AUUCCAGCUCCAAUAGCGUAUAUUAAAGUUGUUGCAGUUAAAAAGCUCGUAGUUGGAGUUCAGAUUGAGCUCGGCCGGUCGGCCUAAUUGGUCAGAACUGGUUGACUCUGUCUUGUUUGUGGAUCCCUCCGGAGUUAACUCUUCGGAUGUGGAGUCCACAUCGUUUACCUUGAAAAAAUUAGAGUGUUCAAAGCAGGCGUUUGCUUGAAUAUAUUAGCAUGGAAUAAUGGAAUAGGACGCUGGUUCUAUUUUGUUGGUUUUGAGAACCAGAGUAAUGAUUAAUAGGGACAGUUGGGGGCAUUCAUAUUUCAUUGUCAGAGGUGAAAUUCUUGGAUUUAUGAAAGAUGAACUUCUGCGAAAGCAUUUGCCAAGGAUGUUUUCAUUG
rnacentral:rRNA from 1 species